GGCGGACGGGUGAGUAACGCGUGGGAAUCUGCCCUGCAGUGGGGGACAACCCGAGGAAACUCGGGCUAAUACCGCAUACGUCUUACGAGAGAAAGGGGGCUUCGGCUCUCGCUGCAGGAUGAGCCCGCGUCCGAUUAGCUUGUUGGUAGGGUAACGGCCUACCAAGGCGACGAUCUGUAGCUGGUCUGAGAGGACGAACAGCCACACUGGGACUGAGACACGGCCCAGACUCCUACGGGAGGCAGCAGUGGGGAAUAUUGGACAAUGGGCGAAAGCCUGAUCCAGCAAUGCCGCGUGUGUGAAGAAGGCCUGCGGGUUGUAAAGCACUUUCAGUUGGGAAGAUGAUGACGUUACCAACAGAAGAAGCACCGGCUAAAUCCGUGCCAGCAGCCGCGGUAAUACGGAUGGUGCGAGCGUUAAUCGGAAUUACUGGGCGUAAAGCGCGC
rnacentral:rRNA from 1 species